AUGGUAGCAACACAACAUGAUAUUCGAUUGUUUAUAUUGUAUUAUUGACUGUAUGUCUGUUUAUCCGAUGUGUAACUCGGUGUUGUUGUUUUGUCGCACUGCUUUGCUUUAUCUUGACCAGGUCACAGUUGAAAAUGAGAACCUAUUCUCUACUGGCCUACCUGGUUAAAUAAAGGUGUUCUCAACUAGCCUACCUGGUUAAAUAAAGGUGUUCUCAACUGGCCUACCUGGUUAAAUAAAGGUGUUCUCUACUGGCCUACCUGGUUAAAUAAAGGUGUUCUCAACUGGCCUACCUGGUUAAAUAAAGGUGUUCUCAACUAGCCUACCUGGUUAAAUAAAGGUGUUCUCUACUGGCCUACCUGGUUAAAUAAAGGUGUUCUCAACUGGCCUACCUGGUUAAAUAAAGGUGUUCUCUACUGGCCUACCUGGUUAAAUAAAGGUGUUCUCUACUGGCCUACCUGGUUAAAUAAAGGUGUUCUCUACUGGCCUACCUGGUUAAAUAAAGGUGUUCUCUACUGGCCUACCUGGUUAAAUAAAGGUGUUCUCAACUAGCCUACCUGGUUAAAUAAAGGUGAAAUGAAAUCAAAUAAAAAACAACAUGGUAGCAUCACAACAUGACAACAACAUGGUAGCAACACUACAUGGUAGCAUCACAUGACAACAACAUGGUAGCAUCAC